CCACCCCUUCAAGACACACACCCAAUGAGAAACUCUGUCUUUGUGAGGAGAGAGAGAGAGAGAGAUAUGAGAGAGAGACACAGACUGAGAGAUAAUCUCGUGAGAACAUCUUUAUUCCAUUCUCAUCCCGCAGGUUCCCUUUCACUCGAUGCAAAUCAAUCUGUCACGCUGUUCUGAGGAGGAUCUGACGUCCGUGAGCCGCAGAGGAACACAGGUCAUUCAUUCUGCAUUCAUCAGGGUUACACAGAGAAUAUAUCAGAAACCGAACAAACACUGCAGAUCUCUGUGAGAAGGACGACGGCGAGCAAAGAAGAGGCACCGAGAAGUG